rnacentral:lncRNA from 1 species
GAAAGAAGGAGAGAAGGGUCAAAACUUAAGGAGAGGAGAAGAAGAGAAUGAAGAAAAGUUAAUUUCUAUUGGAAUUAACACUUGAAUCAAAUGGUUUUUGCUAGAAAUCAUCAAAGGUGAGUUAGUUAUCAUUUAUUCUUAAGUUAUCUACUUAAUUUAGAGAAGAAAUGGUCAGGGUUUUAAAAAAGAUUUUGAGCAAAAUUGAUCUUUGAUGGAAACUAGAUGAAUAAACAUGAUUUAAUAUGUUAACUAGUUAGUUUUAAUUAUAUAACUAUGAAUUGAGUUUUAAUUUGAUGAAAUUAAAGAAAAUCAUAUAUAGGGUUCUUGAAGUAGGUUCGGCCAAAUGAAGAUUUCUAUUGAGAUGAUGUUUUCAAUUUGAAUUGAUGAGUUUAAAUGGUUAAUUAAACAUCCUAAUUAAGUUAUUAAGUGUUGGAUUGGAAAGAAUUAUUCUAAAAUUGAUAUUACCAGUUUUAUAUGGUUAUGGAAGUUUAAGGAGCUUAAGAAAAUAUUCAUGAAACAAUAUUAUGUUUGACGAAUUUUAAUGAUGUUGAUUGAUGAAUAGAUAAUUGAGUUGAGAUAUGUGAUUGAGAAAUGAAUGUUGGAGAAUACGAUAGAAUUUUCCAAAAGUCCAUGAUAUAAAGAGAAAUAAGAAUGUUAAGUAUUAAAGUAUGCUUGAUUAAAUGCCUAAAUGAAUAUUAAUAUGCUUCCUUAUUCAUAUAGGUGAAAGGAUCAUAGAAGGCGUUGAAGAAUGAGGUACUUCCAGGCCUUGAGACUGCAUUUCUGUGUAUUAUGAGUAAAAACUAAAUAUGAUUAUUUAUAUAUGAUAAAUGUUUGUUUAAAAUAUCUGCUAUGGCCAUAUUUUGUAUUUGAUAUUCUGGAUUGAAAAGAAUAUGAUGUGAUUCUGAAAAGUGGCAAAUCAAGCAAAAAUUUAUGUAUUAUUCUGAGGCAAGUGAGCAUAAUCUAUGAAUGCAAUUCUAUCAAAUUCUACAUCUGAGAGAAAAGAAAGUUAUGAUUGUCAUUACCAACUUGUAAUUUUGAUCUAUAUCUGGAGCUGCAUGCUCAAAAUCUGUAUCUGGAACUGCAUUCUCAAAAUAUCUGAUCUGAAAGCUGGCCAACUAAAUUUGAUAUUUGAAAUUUGUUAUCUGAUACUUCGGGGGCGAGCUUGGUUUAACAAGUCAUAACAUAAAUAAUCAGACAAUCAUCUGAAUUUAUAUUUCUGAAAUAUGUCUCUUUAGCAUCUAUACAUAUGAUGCUUGAAUUAUCUGUUAUUUGCAUUUCUAUUAAUGGAAAUGAUGUGAUAUCUAUUCACUUAUUAUUGUGAAUGAUAUGAUGAAUGGCUACUAAUUGAGAAUGGUUGAUGUCGAGCAAUGAUGAUCUGAAGAAUUUGAGAUGUUCUGAAUUAUAGGGAGUGUACUGUGUGUCAUAUUAAAGAUGCUUAAUAUAUGCAAUAUAAUUCCAAAUAAUCAUUAUGAUAGUUUUAUCUCACUCAAUAGCAUCUCAUAUUAAAUGCUAAUGUUUUUCUAGAUUUUAGUGUUGUGAGGCAUUAACAAUCAGAUUUCCUUUUAUUCAGACAGACAUAUAUGGAACAAAUGUCGAGUUCAGUUGUGAUAUUUGUUUACUCAUUAUUGUGAAUGAUAUGAUGAAUGACUACUAUUGUAUGAUAAUAGUUUAUAUCGGGCAAUGAUGGCCUGAGGAGUUUGAAAUGUUUUGAAUUAUAGAGAGUGUAUUGUGUGCCUUGUUUGAGAUGCUUGAUAUAUCAAUAUAAUUCCAAAUAAUCAUUAUGAUGGCUGUAUUUCACUUAAUAACAUCUCAUAUGAAACGCUAAUGUUUUUUCAGAUUUUGGUGUUGGGAGGCAUUAACAAUCAGAUUUCCUUUUAUUCGGACAGACAGAUAUGGAACAAAGGUCGAGAUUAGUUGUAUCUGCAUAUGUCACCUUCUUAAUUUUGUAUAAAUGUUUUGUAUGAGUUUAUACUCCUUAUAGUCAGGGGCGGAGCUAGGACAAUUAUUUUGAGGGAGUCAAAUGAAUUUUUUAAGACUUUUAAGGAGACCAAAUAUAACUUUUUUAUAUUUUGAAGGAUUAAAAUGUCAUUUUUCAUAAGAAAAUUAAAAAAAAAAAAAUUUGGGGAGGGCCACGGCCCCCUUAGGCCCCAAGGGAGCUCCUCCUCUACCUAUGGUCCACAAUGUAAUAAAGAUAUACUCGGACUAUAUUUUGUCAUGUAUAAAAUCAUAUAUGACUGUAUUUGAAUAGAAAGAAAUUUUUUGAUGCU